AUCCAGAUGACGAAUCCCAAAUAGGACGAAAUGCGCAUCCUGAAU
rfam:Trichobilharzia regenti genome assembly, scaffold: TRE_scaffold0028676